UACGCAGGGUGCAAGCGUUACUCGGAAUUACUGGGCGUAAAGCGUGCGUAGGCGGUUUGUUAAGUCUGUCGUGAAAGCCCCGGGCUCAACCUGGGAAUGGCGAUGGAUACUGGCGAGCUAGAGUACGGUAGAGGAGAGUGGAAUUCCCGGUGUAGCAGUGAAAUGCGUAGAGAUCGGGAGGAACAUCAGUUGCGAAGGCGGCUCUCUGGACCAGUACUGACGCUGAGGCACGAAGGCGUGGGGAGCAAACAGG
rnacentral:rRNA from 1 species